AAGUCUCUCAGUACGUCAUUAUCUUCCUGGUUAACAUUUUACAUCCUAAAGGCUUCAUCCUCACGCAGCAUGGCUGGAUCAGGGUUUCCCCCAUUGGCCAAAAUUCCCCACUGCUGCCUCCCGUAAG
rnacentral:rRNA from 1 species